rnacentral:rRNA from 1 species
CCUACGGGAUGCAGCAGUGAGGAAUAUUGGUCAAUGGACGAGAGUCUGAACCAGCCAAGUCGCGUGAAGGAUGACUGCCCUAUGGGUUGUAAACUUCUUUUAUAUGGGAAUAAAAUAUUCCACGUGUGGGCUUUUGUAUGUACCCUAUGAAUAAGGAUCGGCUAACUCCGUGCCAGCAACCGCGGUAAUACGGAGGAUCCGAGGGUUAGCCGGAUUUAUUUGGGUUAAAGGGAGCGUAUGUGGAUUGUUAAGUCAGUUGCGAAAGUUUGCGGCUCAAACGUAAAAUUGCAGUUGAAACUGGCAGUCUGGAGUACAGUAGAGGUGGGCGGAAUUCGUGGUGUAGCGGUGAAAUGCUUGGAUAUCACGAAGAACUCCGAUUGCGAAGGCAGCUCACUGGACUGCAACUGACACUGAGGCUCGAAAGUGUGGGUAUCAAACAGGAUUAGAUACCCUUGUAGUC